rnacentral:lncRNA from 1 species
ACGUAUCCGGGUUAAAAUAGCAUUUAAGCUUCCCGAUCUCAGUAGGUACUGCGGACAUAGAUGAUUGAGAACUAUCACAUCUGUAAGUUAGACACAGAUAGUUGGAGUGCUAUCAGCAGCGUGAUAGAUUGUCAGCAGCGUGAUAAACAAGAAGACCUGCAAGUUAUAUAGAGAAAUACGUACAUCAAUAUCAACAUCAAAUGGCGGGUGGCAAGAUAUACCAUCUUAUAGUUGGAUUUGUCUUGUUUAACUUUGUGAUGGGUAUUUUGAUACCAUGUGAGGAACCAAACGGUGAACGUGGUCUCCCACUAAAAGACGAGAACGACACUCCAAUUUGCUGUGACGUUGAUAGGUGGGAGACCUGCAAAAAGCCCCAGAAGUGUCCUUCUGGCUACUACUGCCAAGUCCCUCAGCACAAACUGUGGGCGUUUUGUUGCCCAAAGUACCAUAAUUAACUGACUGCCGUCCGUCAUACUUCGGAUGAUUCCGUUUGAUGCAAUGAGGUAGAAUUGAGAUUGACCGAAUCAAUCAAUGAUCAUUAGUAUGGCCUAUAGUUAUUUAAAGUCAUGAAGACCUUUCUCGGCUAUUCAUUUACCUAAACCAUAUGUACAGACCUCAUUUAAAAGGGUAUAUAAUAUCUUAAAGAAUUCGUUUAUAGAUAUAUUAUCAUGAAAAUGUCUAAACAUGAAGGAUAUUCCAAACAUGAGUUAGUCGUUGAUCGCAAAUAAAGCAUUAGAAACAUUCGCCUUUCGUGCUCAUGAAAUAU